GCUAGCUACAGGCUUAACACAUGCAAGUCGAGGGUUAGCAUGGUCUUAGCUUGCUAAGGCCGAUGGCGACCGGCGCACGGGUGAGUAACGCGUAUCCAACCUGCCUUACACUCUUGGACAGCCUUCUGAAAGGGAGAUUAAUACAAGAUGUUAUCAUGAGUAAGCAUUUUCGCAUGAUUAAAGGUUUACCGGUGUAAGAUGGGGAUGCGUUCCAUUAGAUAGUAGGCGGGGUAACGGCCCACCUAGUCUUCGAUGGAUAGGGGUUCUGAGAGGAAGGUCCCCCACAUUGGAACUGAGACACGGUCCAAACUCCUACGGGAGGCAGCAGUGAGGAAUAUUGGUCAAUGGACGAGAGUCUGAACCAGCCAAGUAGCGUGAAGGAUGAAGGUUCUAUGGAUUGUAAACUUCUUUUAUACGGGAAUAAACGAAUCCACGUGUGGAUUUUUGCAUGUACCGUAUGAAUAAGGAUCGGCUAACUCCGUGCCAGCAGCCGCGGUAAUACGGAGGAUCCGAGCGUUAUCCGGAUUUAUUGGGUUUAAAGGGAGCGUAGAUGGGUUGUUAAGUCAGUUGUGAAAGUUUGCGGCUCAACCGUAAAAUUGCAAUUGAUACUGGCAGUCUUGAGUACAGUUGAGGUAGGCGGAAUUCGUGGUGUAGCGGUGAAAUGCUUAGAUAUCACGAAGAACUCCGAUUGCGAAGGCAGCUUACUAACCUGUAACUGACAUUGAUGCUCGAAAGUGUGGGUAUCAAACAGGAUUAGAUACCCUGGUAGUCCACACGGGUAAACGAUGAAUACUCGCUGUAGGCGAUAUACAGUCUGCGGCCAAGCGAAAGCAUUAAGUAUUCCACCUGGGGAGUACGCCGGCAACGGUGAAACUCAAAGGAAUUGACGGGGGCCCGCACAAGCGGAGGAACAUGUGGUUUAAUUCGAUGAUACGCGAGGAACCUUACCCGGGCUUAAAUUGCAACCGAAUAUGGCGGAAACGCUAUAGCUAGCAAUAGCGGUUGUGAAGGUGCUGCAUGGUUGUCGUCAGCUCGUGCCGUGAGGUGUCGGCUUAAGUGCCAUAACGAGCGCAACCCUUGCCGAUAGUUACUAACAGGUCAUGCUGAGGACUCUGUCGGGACUGCCAUCGUAAGAUGUGAGGAAGGUGGGGAUGACGUCAAAUCAGCACGGCCCUUACGUCCGGGGCUACACACGUGUUACAAUGGGGGGUACAGAGGGCUGCUACCACGCAAGUGGAUGCCAAUCCCAAAAACCUCUCUCAGUUCGGAUUGAAGUCUGCAACCCGACUUCAUGAAGCUGGAUUCGCUAGUAAUCGCGCAUCAGCCACGGCGCGGUGAAUACGUUCCCGGGCCUUGUACACACCGCCCGUCAAGCCAUGGGAGCCGGGGGUACAAGAAGUGCGUAACCGCAAGGAGCGCCCUAGGGUAAAACUGGU
rnacentral:rRNA from 1 species